UACCAGACUCCUACGGGAGGCAGCAGUGAGGAAUAUUGGUCAAUGGCCGGAAGGCUGAACCAGCCAAGCCGCGUGAAGGACGAAGGUGCCAAGCAUUGUAAACUUCUUUUGUCAAGGGACAAAAUCAGGCUCGAGAGCCUGACCGAGGGUACUUGAAGAAAAAGCAUCGGCUAACUCCGUGCCAGCAGCCGCGGUAAUACGGAGGAUGCGAGCGUUAUCCGGAUUUAUUGGGUUUAAAGGGUGCGUAGGCGGACUGUUAAUUCAGCGUAAAACGCCGGGGCCACACCCCCGGCGAGCCGUUGAAACUGGCUGUCUUGAGAUGUCGAGAGGUAUGCGGAAUGCGCAGUGUAGCGGUGAAAUGCUUAGAUAUUGCGCAGAACUCCGAUUGCGAAGGCAGCCUACCGGCUCCUAUCUGACGCUGAGGCACGAAAGCGUGGGUAUCGAACAGGAUUAGAUACCCGUGUAC
rnacentral:rRNA from 1 species